GAGUCUGAGCCUAUAAUUGCCAAAAACGCAUUUGUUACUCCUGGACAACCUUCUACACCUGAAGCAACAGAUAUCACCAAAACAUCAAUGCAGAUUGUUUGGAAUAAACCUGGUGUGGAUGGUGGUAGCAUGGUUACAGGAUACUAUCUGGAGAGACGUGACAAGAGGAGCCUGCGCUGGGUAAAAAUAUACAAAGAUCCCAUUAGUGACACCAAAGCAAAGGUCCAUCACCUCACAGAAGGAAAUGAAUAUCAGUAUCGUGUGUGUGCAAUCAAUAAAGCUGGGAAGGUCCAUACUCAGACGUUUCUGACCUCUACAAAGCUGCUGACCCAGUUGACCCACCAUAUGAACCAACUAAGCUCAAGGUAGUGGACUCAACUAAAACAUCAAUCACACUUGGAUGGUCAAAGCCAGAGUAUGAUGGAGGCAGUGAAAUCACCAGCUAUGUUGUAGAAAAAAGAGUUGGUGAGGAAGGGGAGUGGACAGUGAUUAGCCAUAAAGGAGAAGUGAGAACCACAGAGUAUGUCGCCUCAGAUCUUAAACCAGAUAUUGACUACUACUUCCGUGUAUCUGCUGUUAAUUGUGCUGG